AGCGAACGCUGGCGGCAGGCCUAACACAUGCAAGUCGAACGGAUCCUUCGGGAUUAGUGGCAGACGGGUGAGUAACACGUGGGUGAUCUGCCCUGCACUUCGGGAUAAGCCUGGGAAACUGGGUCUAAUACCGGAUAUGACUACGGAUCGCAUGGUCUGUGGUGGAAAGCUUUUGCGGUGUGGGAUGGGCCCGCGGCCUAUCAGCUUGUUGGUGGGUAGCACCAGCGACGACGGUAGCGGCCUGAGAGGGUGACCGGCCACACUGGGACGUGAGAUACGG
rnacentral:rRNA from 1 species